rnacentral:rRNA from 1 species
AUUGAACGCUGGCGGCAGGCCUAACACAUGCAAGUCGAGCGGAUGAAGGGAGCUUGCUCCUGGAUUCAGCGGCGGACGGGUGAGUAAUGCCUAGGAAUUUGCCUGGUAGUGGGGGAUAACGUCCGGAAACGGGCGCUAAUACCGCAUACGUCCUGAGGGAGAAAGUGGGGGAUCUUCGGACCUCACGCUAUCAUAUGAGCCUAGGUCGGAUUAGCUAGUUGGUGGGGUAAAGGCCUACCAAGGCGACGAUCCGUAACUGGUCUGAGAGGAUGAUCAGUCACACUGGAACUGAGACACGGUCCAGACUCCUACAGGAGGCAGCAGUGGGGAAUAUUGGACAAUGGGCGAAAGCCUGAUCCAGCCAUGCCGCGUGUGUGAAGAAGGUCUUCGGAUUGUAAAGCACUUUAAGUUGGGAGGAAGGGCAGUAAGUUAAUACCUUGCUGUUUUGACGUUACCAACAGAAUAAGCACCGGCUAACUUCGUG